GAUGAACGCUAGCGGCAGGCCUAAUACAUGCAAGUCGAACGGGAUCCAGAUCAAAGCUUGCUUUGGUCUGGUGAGAGUGGCGCACGGGUGCGUAACGCGUGAGCAACCUACCCUUGUCAGGGGGAUAGCCCGGCGAAAGUCGGAUUAAUACCGCAUGACAUCAUUGAGAGGCAUCUUUCGAUGAUCAAAGAUUUAUCGGACAAGGAUGGGCUCGCGUGACAUUAGCUCGUUGGUAAGGUAACGGCUUACCAAGGCUGCGAUGUCUAGGGGCUCUGAGAGGAGAAUCCCCCACACUGGUACUGGGACACGGACCAGACUCCUACGGGAGGCAGCAGUAAGGAAUAUUGGUCAAUGGACGGAAGUCUGAACCAGCCAUGCCGCGUGCAGGAGGACGGCCCUAUGGGUUGUAAACUGCUUUUAUACGGGAACAAACGUCGGUACGUGUACCGGUCUGAGUGUACCGUAAGAAUAAGGAUCGGCUAACUC
rnacentral:rRNA from 1 species